rnacentral:rRNA from 1 species
AGCGAACGCUGGCGGCAGGCUUAACACAUGCAAGUCGAGCGGGCACUUUCGGGUGUCAGCGGCGGACGGGUGAGUAACGCGUGGGAACGUGCCCUCUGGUUCGGAAUAACUCAGGGAAACUUGAGCUAAUACCGGAUACGCCCUUUUGGGGAAAGGCUUGCUGCCGGAGGAUCGGCCCGCGUCUGAUUAGCUAGUUGGUGAGGUAACGGCUCACCAAGGCGACGAUCAGUAGCUGGUCUGAGAGGAUGAUCAGCCACACUGGGACUGAGACACGGCCCAGACUCCUACGGGAGGCAGCAGUGGGGAAUAUUGGACAAUGGGCGCAAGCCUGAUCCGGCCAUGCCGCGUGAGUGAUGAAGGCCUUAGGGUUGUAAAGCUCUUUUAUCCGGGACGAUAAUGACGGUACCGGAGGAACAAGCCCCGGCUAACUUCGUG